rnacentral:rRNA from 1 species
UACGUAGGUGGCAAGCGUUGUCCGGAUUCACUGGGUUUAAAGGGUGCGUAGGUGGGCAGGUAAGUCAGUGGUGAAAUCUCCGGGCUUAACCCGGAAACUGCCAUUGAUACUAUCUGUCUUGAAUACCCUGGAGGUGAGCGGAAUAUGUCAUGUAGCGGUGAAAUGCUUAGAUAUGACAUAGAACACCCAUUGCGAAGGCAGCUCACUACGGGAAUAUUGACACUGAGGCACGAAAGCGUGGGGAUCAAACAGG